CUUCGAGGCCAGAAUAAAACUUGAUGCGAGGCUCCUCUCUUCUUCAGAUGCUUCAAAAUAAAUUGGCUUCUUGCGGGUCAUCAGCUCCAGAAGCACUACGCCGAAGCUAUAAACAUCACUUUUCUCUGUCAACUGGCAGGUUUGGAGGUACUCUGGGUCCAAGUAACCACAAGUCCCUUGCACCAAGGUAGCAAACUGAUCCUCAUCUUUUGGAACCAGCUUCGAAGCUCCAAAGUCAGAAACUUUUGCUGUAUAGUUUUCAUCUAAAAGGAUGUUGGAAGACUUCACGUCACCAUGAAUGAUGGGAGGCGAAGCUGAUGAAUGCAAGUAGGCCAGAGCUUCGGCAGACUCAUGAGCGAUCCUCAAGCGAGUGGCCAAGGAAAAGGGAGAUGCACUGUUGUUGUCGUGAAUCAGCUGGAACAAGGUCCCGUUCGAGACAAACUCAUAAACCAGCAUCGGAACCUCCACUUCCAAGCAACAACCCAAGAGCUUAACUAUGUUCUUGUGGUUGAUCUGCGACAGAAUAAGCAGCUCUUUUCCAAAUUCAUUCUUUUGGCUCUCAUCAAUGAUCUUGGGUUUCUUGAUGGCAACGACACGACUGUCCUCCAAUACUCCUUUGUAAACGGUACCAUGUCCUCCUCUGCCAAGGACUCGGUUCUGAUCAUACUUCUCUGUAGCUUUUUCUAAUUCUUCUUUGGCAAAUAUCUUAAAUGCAAGGCCUUGUUCUCUAAAGUAUCUUUCUUUAGCCUUGAUCUCUUCCAAUAAUAUCCAACCUCCAUGUUCUCUAAAAUAUCUUUCCUUAAUCUUGAUGAAUUUUCUUCUUUGAAAAAUCACAUAGAUACACAUGCCGGAUAUUAGUAGAAAGAUCAAGCCACUGCCAAUACCUGUAUCUCAGAAAUUUUCAGGCCAAUUAAAACCAGGAAGAGAAACAAAAAUUCUGUUUUUUAUGCAUAUUAUUUUGGUUUUGUGGUUACUGGAAGCUAUAAUACGAACACGAACAAUUUUGUGCUCUGCUUUUUUUAUGAUAAAAUCCUGGAUGCUUAUUAUUAUUGCUUUUCUUCUGCGUAAGCGUUAUGCUAAGCUACAUAACUAGAAUACCUAAAGUUCACGCAGUAUGAGAAGAAUGUUUAUGGUCAACUUUAUGUUAUUUCAAUCAGCAGGGUUGAUAGUAUGAGAAGAAAUUAUAUCAAAUGUUUCAUUUUCAUAAGUAUAUGGAUCCAAUAUAACUUUUGAAAGUAGAAGGACCGAGAUGUUAAAGAUAACUAAUUUCGAAAAUAAUUUGUAAUUAGCCCAAGAGAAAAAAAGCAUAACCAUCAAGAAUUUCUUUCUUUCUCGGUCACGAUGAUGCCAAAGGUCUAAACUCAUCGCUGAAGUUGAAAAAAAAACAUGAUUUUGUUAAUCACAAAAGUACUUCGAGGGUCAGCAACCGAAGUCGGUUCCAUCCAGGCUAAUAAAAGCAAUACCAACAAUUCUGAAUUUAACAUAUUAUUGAUCUUUUGCAUGUAAAUACACUUUCUUGUGUAUGUGGAUAAAAAAAAAUCAUCAACUACUUGGAGAUGGUACAAGACAACAGAAUAUAAAAUCAAACCAGGCUAUUGUCAUUAGUCCCCUCUCUAUAAGAUACACCUAGUCUAUAGUGCAGACAGAUUAAAAGGAUUUGAAGCAAUAAAUAAAAUUCAUGAAAAGAAAGGACAUUUCUAAUACUUGGCAUCAAAAGUCAUGGUGGAAAAAAGACUCUUACCUAUAGCCACCUUCGCUGAUGAUGGAAGUUUCUGGUGUUGGGUGCAUGUUCCAUUGAAGGCAUCACCAUAUGUACCUCGCGGGCAGAAACAAUUGUAGCUACCAGGCAGGUUCUGACAGAUGCCAUGGCAAGGAUUUUGAUCUUUAUCAGAGCAUUCGUCGAUGUCUGCAAUUAAAGCAUAUUCAGCAGUAUCAGAAACAAAAUCAUGAAAACUAAAACGACAAGCAGAUCCAAGAAUGAGGAGACUUAACAGACCUUGGCAGCCAUGAGCGACAUAAGGAUUGCCAUGGUAGCCACUCGAACAAUUACAAAGAUACCCAGGACCAUUGGAAGAGUUCAAACACUCGCUGUGCUCGCUGAUGCAGGCGUAGGAGGUUGUGUCGCGCUGUGCUACCUCGCAUGUCUCGUUUCCGAUCGCCCAAUCCACCACCAAAGGCGCCUUGCUGUUGCUGUUGCUCAAGAAUUGGUUCGUUGUGAUGUAAGAUGUUAGGAACUCAAACUGAUUCGCCUCCAACAAUACGGCAUAGCUGCAGUCACUGAAGUUCCAGAUGCUCGAGCUGUUGAAAUUGGAAUCAAACCAGACCUCAUAGUAUGUGAGGUCCUUGGGAAUGGAGGUUUGGCAGCAGCCGAUGCCGGAGCAUGAGCUGUUGACCAAGCUCGCCUCGUUGUGACACACAGACACGCAACCGCUCUGGUAGCUGUCGGCACUUUGGAAAUCUCCGAUGUAGGCGAGGGUCUCGCAGCCGAUUACAGUGAACCUGUUGUGGACGUCGGAGAAUCUGUAUGGUGUGCCUACCAAAUUCAGAGACCAGAAGUUGUAGUCCAAAGAAUUGUUGCUAACGUUGUAACACUGCCACGAUAUUUCAUUGAGCAUGCGUGCCUGGCCUAGUGGCAAUGAGAUAUUGGUGAUCUCGACGUUGGAAAAAAAAAGUUUCUCGAGGCCAUCAUCCGUUGUGUUGCAAUCUAGUGAGAAGCCUUCCAUCGCACAGUUAUGACCGAUGCCAAAAGGGUAGGGGACGUCAACCUCGCCGCAUCUCGUUCGGCAGCCAGGCGGUGCAGCUGCUGCAGAUGCCGCUGCACCCACUAGCGGCAGCAUCAACAGCUGGAACAAGCGAUACCCUAACAGCACACCCAUCUCUCGAUUUGCACAUUAUCAGAGAGGUACUCUCAGAUAAAAGCUUGGACAAAUGAUCUGUUAUGGAAACACCAAAGCCUAAAAUGAAGCUUCCUCUUGGCUGAACGAUGACGUCCAAGAAAGCUGACCUUUUCCCAGUCAAUCAUUUGAAGCAAAAAUUGAUUAUUUGAUUGCAUCACUGUCUAAUUUUUCUGCAAAAAAAAAAAAAAAUUGAUUCAAAACUUGGAUCCACAAGGAUGAACUUUGAUUAUGUCAACAGGCAGCCUUAUGUGACCACACACCCAUCUUUCCCUUUGAUCGGCGCCACAUGCUGCAAAGUUGGGAACGCAAAACAACAUCUGACUUUUAAUAGGAUGUUUCGAUCCUUCAGAACAAUAGAAGUACAAGGAAAGAAAACUCAAUGAACUGCUAUCGACCAUCCUCGUCAAGUGGAUUUUCAUGGACCUGUUCAAUCUUUAAUGGUACAAGAAGAACUAGCGGUUGGUGGAUCCGCGGAUGACACCGGCUGAGAUGGAGAUGGUGUAAGCGACUUAUCACACCAAUUCAUGAUUGUUUAAUGUUAGCUUCUUUCUCAAUUAAUUCUUCUUUGUGAAAGCAGAACACAAAAAAAGAAGAAGAAGACAUGAAUAAGAAAUGACGUUCUCUGUCUGCUCAGAGAGACGUCGCAAUUGGUGGUGUUGACUAGUCUACCUAAACUAGCGAUUAAAACGUGAUGGUUGACAUGGCUCACCUUGGCACCCUCGUCGUCUUCCUGUCUGCGAUAGGGCGGCGUACAAUCUUGUAGGCGCCUCUCCAUAAGCCCAUCCACGACUCCGGGGAAGAACCGGCGACGUCGCCCAAAAUGGGUCGACCAUAGCUGCGUGGAGGGAGCCGGCGGAGGCGGCUAAAGAUUCCUCCGCUACCUGCUGCCUUCGUUGCUCGUGAAAAGCGGCGGUUAUCGUGAUCGGCGGAGAGAACGCCCCCAUGUCUGCGCUCUCUUGGGAGGAAGGAGUUCUCUCAGAUCCCCAAAGGAACGGACACGUACGAGCACCACAACACAACAAUUGAGGGGGGCGAUCUCGUCAUUGCACGACAAACAGCAUUUACUUACUUUAUAUACUGAUGACCAUCUCUUUUCUGUAAUGUGAUUAUUUCGGAGGAUUGAGAGUAGCCUUAUGCGCACAAACGACUUAUGACAGAUUAAUUAUAUAUUACCUCGUAUACAUACUUACAUUAUAUUAAUAUAAUAAUAUUAUAUUUAAAAAAUUAUAUUAAUUAUUUUUAUAAUUUUAAAAAUAAAAUAAAUAAUCUUAUUUAUCCUAACGUUAUCAAUUAUAUUGAUAAAAAAUAUAACAUGUGACACACGUAUCGAAUCGAUACAAAAAUGAUGGAUAAAAAUAUAUUAUAUUUUUUAUUAAUAUCUGAUGACAUAAAUAAAGUUAUUUAUUUUAUUUUUAAAAUUAUAAAAAAAAAUAAUAUAAUUUUUUAAAAUAUAAAGAUCAUGAUAUUAAUAAGGUAGGUAAUAUAUAAUUAGCCCACUUAUUACGGGAGAAUAUAGGUCGAGGAAAAGACUGUGGUCCGAUCUGCAAAUUGAAUUUGUACAGAUCUCAGAUUCCUAUAGUUACUGAUACAUAUUCUUUCUACAUAGCUCAGAACAUAAUCCAGUAGGAAAUGGCAAACAGACAUUUACAACCAUAUAUUGCCGAUCAAUUUAAGAUUGCUUCAAGAAACUAUAAAAACAAGGGAGUUGAUGUGUUUGGGAAUAAAUUUAACGCCAAUCUUUUCGCUGAAUUAUAGCAAGUAAUGGUAUCAAUUCCACGCUCACCUGAUGGUUCACCGAGCAAGCUCUCUAUCUCCUCAGCAUUUCGUGGCACCCACGGGUGCUGCUUUAAUUCUUUUAACCUGUCAAGCUCUUCCGCCACUUCCUUCAUCGUAGGCCUUUCUUCUCCCCUAUAGUUCAGGCGUUGCCCUGUGAGCCCCCUAAUUCUUUGAAUCAGUUCUAUAUCCUCUUCAUUUCUCACUUGAUCAUCCAAGAUCGCAAGUACCUGUCUCUCAUAAAUUCAGGCCAAUUAACAUCAUGAAAAGAAAUAAAAACUAUGAUUUUUAUGCACAUUGUAACAAUAAGACAAGCAUGGACAUAUUUAUGCUCUGCAUUUCUGCUGCUAUUAUCCUUGAUGCUUUUUUUUUUGUUCUUUUUCUUUUGCAGUUUCUCCAUUGAAUGCCGUGAAAGGAUUAUUUUUAAUUACAUAACUAGAAUAAAUGCAGUCAAUACGAGAACUGUGGAUAACUCAUCAUAUUAAAUAUGAUAUUAAAGAAUACUAUUUCCCUCUACUUUUAGUAGGUAUAAAUACACAAGUUGGACUUCCCCGAGGGAGAAGAAGCAAAGCCGUCUUGCUUUCUCGUUCACAGUGAUGCCAAAGGUCUGAACUCAUGACUGAAGUUGGAAAAAAUACGAGGAUAAAGGACCUUCAAGAAGACUUUGUUAAUCACAAAAGUUCUUCAAGGUUCUACAACCGAAGUCGGUUCUACCUAGGCCGAUAAAAGCAAUACCGGCAAUUCGGAAUUUAACAUAUUAUUGAUCUUUCACAAGUAAAUACACUUUCUUGAGUGGAUCAAAAAAUCAUCAGCUACUUAGAGAUGAUCCAAGACAACAAGAAGAUAAGAUUGAACCAGGCAUUAGUCCUCCCUAUAAUAUACACCUAGUCUAUAGUGCAGACAGGUGAAAGGAUUUGAAGCAAUAAAUAAAAUUCAUGAAAAGAAAGGGAACAAAAGAAUUUAUUUGUAAUACUUGGCAUCAAAUGUGUUUGGAGAUCCUCGACAAAGACGAAAGUCAUGGUGGAAAAAAGACUCUUACCUAUAGCCACCUUCGCUGAUGAUUGAAGGUUCUGCUGUUGAGUGCAUGGUCCAUUGAAACAAUCACCAUAUGUUCCUCACAGGCAGAAACAAUUGUAGCUACCGGGCAGGUUCUGGCAGAUGCCAUUGCAUGGAUAUUGAUAUUUAUCAGAGCAUUCAUCGAUGUCUGCAAUUAAACCAUAUUCGGCGGUAUCAGAAACAAAAUCAUGAAAACUGAAAAGGAAAGCAGAUCCCAGAAAGAGAAGAGACUGGUACAGGUAACAGACCUUGGCAGCCAUGAGCGACAUAAGGAUUGCCAUGGUAGCCACUCGAACAGUUACACCGAUACCCAGGACCAUUGGAAGAAUUCAAACACUCGCGGUGCUCACUGAUGCAGGUGUAGGAGGUUCUGUUGCGCUUUGCUAUCUCGUUUCCGAUCGCCCAAUCCACCACCAAAGGCGCCUUGCUAAUGCUGUCGUUCAAGAAUCGGUCCGUUGUGAUGUAAAUGUUAGGAAUUCAAACCGAUUGGCCUCCAACAAUACGGCAUAGCUGCAGCAACUGAAGUUCCAGAUGCUCGAGCUGCUGAAAUUUGAAUCAAACCAGACCUCAUAGUAUGCGAGGUCCUUGGGGAUGGAGGUUUGGCAGCAGCCGAUGCCGGAGCAUGAGCUGUUGACCAAACUCACCUCGUUGUGACACACGGACACACAACCGCUCUGGCCCUUUGGAGAUAUCCGAUCCAGACGAGGGUCUCGCAGCCGAUUACAGUGAACUUGUUGUGGACAUCGGAGAAUCUAUUUGGUGUGUCAACCAAAUUCAGAGAGCAGAAAUUGUAGUCCAUAGAAUUGCUACUUACGUUGCAACACUGCGACUAUAUUUCAUUGAGCAUGUGUGUCUGGCCUAGUGGCAAUGAGAUAUCGGUGAUCUCGACGUUGAACACAAAAAGUUUCUCGAGGCCAUCAUCCGUUGCGCUGCAAUUUAGUGAGAAGCCUUCCCUCAAACAGUUAAGACAUAUACCAAAAGGGUAGGGGACGUCAAUCUCGCCGCAUCACGUUGGGCAGCCAGGCAGGGGACCUGCUGCAGAUGCCACUGUACCCACUAGCGGUAGCAUCAACAGCUGGAACAAGUUAUUUUCGCAAUUGCUUAUUUAACAGCAACCUGACAAUUGAAGCAAUUCUUCCAUCCAACAAUGUACUAACACUUUCAAGUUGUCAGUUAAUGAUUUUGCCUCCUGGUCUCCUAAAUCCUCUUCACAAAUGAAUUCAACUCAGUAUCAGUGUUAUCCCAUGUAGACCCUAACACUUCCAUAACCAAAUUCCUGACAUUAGCUUAAUGCAUGCAAAUUUGUUUUUCUUAAAUUCUUGUGAAUAGUUCUCAACAAAUCUCUUUGGAGGAAUGCCCUUAUGCUACAUCAGUGCCUGUGCCUAAUUGACACUCACAAAGUUGCUGCAAGUUUUGGUACGUUAGGAACAAACCAUCUUACUCAUGCAGAUAAACAACUCCUUUGUUUACCUGAGUUCAUGGAAUGAUUGAGAAUUAUUUCACGUACCUUCGAAGAAGAGCAAGCUUGGAUCCUCUCCUGGACAUACUUCGGAAGACAAUUCGCCGAGCCUGGUGCUGUCGUCAAGACCCACGUCUGAAACUUCUGCGCAGAAACACCCUUAUCGACCGCCAAAACAUCGGAUCUCCAAAUGUGCUCAUCUUCCUCCGCGAUCACACCGCACGAAACCAAAGCUGACACUAGCAAAUGGCUCAUGUCAGGGAGCACCAAAGGAUCCUCUGCGUUUCUGGACAUCUUCGCGAUCCUCGAAGAAUGCCCCAUGACCCAGCAGAUCCAGAAAAGCAUGAGCACCUCUCCCGGCAAGAGAGACCCGCCCACCUUAUCAUCGUCGCCAGCAUCGGGAUCGAACUCCAAGCCGCAAGGCGCUCCGGCUUCCCGGGACAGGGCGGCGUACAAUCUGUAUAGCUCGUUGAUGGAUCGUGAGACGGGCAUCCUGCCGUAGCAUCGCUUGUAGCCGCUCAAGAAGCCAAUCCAAUCAAUACGACCGUCAGCACGAUCAUCGGCAACGGGGAAGAAGAGCGAGACCAGGGUUGCGCCGAGAUUGUUCGACAGGGCAGGGAAGUGCUACGGCACCGGCGAGGAUUCGGACACAACAACUUGCACGUCCAGGGAAGAGGGGAGAAUCGAGGGUCAGUUGUCACAUGGGUUGUGGAUCGGUAGGCAGCAGCAGUACCUGGAGGGAAGCGAGGGGGACGGAAGAGGAGGAGGGCGGAGAGAGGUUGGAGAAGGCAUUGCGAAGGGAGGGGAGGAAGCCAUUGGCGGCGGCUAAGUUUUCCUCCUCUUCCUGCCGUUGCUGUUGCUCCGAGAUGCCUCCGUGGUCGGCGGAAGAGGACGCGCCCAUCUCCUGUUUGUUCGUUAGCCUGUCUGUCUGUCUGUCGUGUUCUCGCUUUAUCGGUGGAGAGGAGGAGACCAGCAGACCUCACGGGGCGUUGUUGGACUCUUGAAGCUCCCAAGGGACGGGCGGGCACAAACGAUCGCGAGGAUGGAUGUCGUCCUUGCGACGCUUCUGCGAUGCCGCUACACGCGUCAUGAAGCGGGGUUCGACCGCGGCGACGAACCCACGAUUGCAACAAGCAACGCUACCCGGGAAUUAAACCGGCUCCAUCGUGAGGUUCAAUAAACCUUCGAUGGAGUCGGACCGGCUCAAUCUCUCCCACAUCUCCCUUAAUUUACAUCUAAAAUUUGAGAUGGUAAUUAUUUUACUUAUUAUGAAAAGUAUAAAAAAUAAUAAUAGGUUAAUCAACCCAAAAAUAAAUAAUAUGUAUCAUAAAGAUAUUAUUAUUUAGUCGGCACGUGGAUGUCUAAAAAUUAUUGUAGACUUUUGUUAUUAUAAUAAAAAUUAUUUUUAAAUCAAGAAUGAUUUGUAAAAAAAAUUUAAAUCGGAUGAUAUGGGAUUCAUAUUUUAGGAUUUUUUUAAUUUUAUGUAUUCAUCAUGUCCCGUCUUAUAAAAUUUAAUCAUCAAAGGGAUCAAAGUCAAAAAAUAUUUCUAAUAUUAAUCACAGGAAGGAGGCUAUGGAAAUAAAUUUUAGAAAUUUUACAUCUUAGAAAUUUUACAUGGAUGAUCGAAAGCUAACAACUAUAAUAAAAAAAAAAAAAUUUAUGCUGAUGGACUUUUAUAAACUUAUGAAAGCUUAUCUAAGAGCCGAUCACAAAAUAAUACAUAUUUUCAUAUUAAACGGGUGGCAAUUAAUGUAUAAUUGUUCAUGCUAAUGCUUAAAUAGAUCAGAUGGACAUAGAUAAAGAACAUGGACUGUUUAUACCAUUUUAAUCUCAAUUAUUAAAUUAGAUAAUGAUAUCUCAGACAUGGCGACAACAAGGUCACAUUAUUAGACUAGAUAAUGAUAUCUCAGACAUGGCGACAACAAGGUCAGCCGAUCAUGGAACAUUUCCUGAAUGAUAAAAGCUCCACAAUCAAUGCAAAAUGUUUGAAAUGAUAAUAUUUAUUGGGAUAACCUUAUUCUUACACACAACAUAUUCCAGCAAGGAAAUGACAGAGAUUUCCUGUAGUUAUUAAUAAAUAUUCUUCGCCAUUAUACACUGGCACAAACACACACGAUCACAAGUAUACAUAGCAGCAGUAUCAAUUCAAGAUUGCAUCAAGAAGCCUCGAGAACCAGAGAGUUUGAGCAUGCACCAGAUCAUCAUCUUCCAUAUUCGAUGUCCAAUCCCAAUCUUUUCUCUGGAUUAUAGCUAGUAGUGGUUUCAAUUCCAUGAUAAUAUGUCUCAUGGUCAACUGAUGGUUGACUGAGCAAGCUCUCAAUCUCCUCGGUAUUCUGCGGUACCCACGGGUGCUGCUUGAAUUUUCUCAACCUGUCGAGCUCUUCCGCCACUUGCUUCAUCGUAGGCCUUUCUUCUCCCAUGAACUUCAAGCAUUGCUUUACGAGCUCGCUCAUUUCUUGAAUCAGUUCCGUAUCCCCUUCGUUUCUCACCUGAUCAUCCAAGAUCUCCAUAAGUCGGUUCUCCUUCGUCGCGAGAAUAAAACAUGAUGCGAGGCUCCUCUCAUCUUCAGAUGCUUCAAAAUAAAUUGGCUUCUUGCGGGUCAUCAGCUCCAGAAGCACCACGCCGAAGCUAUAAACAUCACUUUUCUCUGUCAACUGGCAGGUUUGGAGGUACUCUGGGUCCAAGUAACCACAAGUCCCUUGCACCAAGGUAGCAAACUGAUCCUCAUCUUUUGGAACCAGCUUCGAAGCUCCAAAGUCAGAAACUUUUGCUGUAUAGUUUUCAUCUAAAAGGAUGUUGGAAGACUU
rnacentral:lncRNA from 1 species